AUUGAACGCUGGCGGCAUGCUUUACACAUGCAAGUCGAACGGUAACAGGCCUUCGGGUGCUGACGAGUGGCGAACGGGUGAGUAAUGCAUCGGAACGUACCCAGAGGUGGGGGAUAACGCAGCGAAAGCUGUGCUAAUACCGCAUGUGAUCUGAGGAUGAAAGCGGGGGACCGAGCAGCAAUGUUUGGCCUCGCGCCUUUGGAGCGGCCGAUGUCGGAUUAGCUAGUUGGUGGGGUAAAGGCCUACCAAGGCGACGAUCCGUAGCUGGUCUGAGAGGACGACCAGCCACACUGGGACUGAGACACGGCCCAGACUCCUACGGGAGGCAGCAGUGGUGAAUUUUGGACAAUGGGCGCAAGCCUGAUCCAGCAAUGCCGCGUGCGGGAAGAAGGCCUUCGGGUUGUAAACCGCUUUUGGCAGGAACGAAACGGUGUCCGCUAAUACCGGGCGCUAAUGACGGUACCUGCAGAAUAAGCACCGGCUAACUACGUG
rnacentral:rRNA from 1 species